AGGCGCGCAAAUUACCCAAUCCCGACACGGGGAGGUAGUGACAAUAAAUAACGAUACUGGGCUCUUUCGGGUCUAGUAAUUGGAAUGAGUACAAUUUAAAUCCCUUACCGAGGAACGAUUGGAGGGCAAGUCUGGUGCCAGCAGCCGCGGUAAUUCCAGCUCCAAUAGCGUAUAUUAAAGUUGUUGCCGUUAAAAAGCUCGUAGUUGAAUUUCCGCGGACUCGCGGGGUCCGCCUCGCGGCGAGUACUUCGCGG
rnacentral:rRNA from 1 species